UACAGGGGGUGCAAACGUUGCUCGGAAUCAUUGGGCGUAAAGCGCACGUAGGCGGUCUGUUAUGUCGGAUGUGAAAGCCCUCGGCUUAACUGAGGAAGUGCAUCCGAAACUGGCAGGCUAGAGUACUAAAGAGGGUCGCGGAAUUCCCGGUGUAGAGGUGAAAUUCGUAGAUAUCCGGAGGAACACCGGUGGCGAAGGCGGCUUCCUGGACCGACACUGACGCUGAGGCGCGAAAGCUAGGGGAGCAAACGGG
rnacentral:rRNA from 1 species